GAUGAACGCUAGCUACAGGCUUAACACAUGCAAGUCGAGGGGCAGCAUUUUAGUUUGCUUGCAAACUGAAGAUGGCGACCGGCGCACGGGUGAGUAACACGUAUCCAACCUGCCGAUAACUCCGGGAUAGCCUUUCGAAAGAAAGAUUAAUACCGGAUAGUAUACGAAUAUCGCAUGAUAUUUUUAUUAAAGAAUUUCGGUUAUCGAUGGGGAUGCGUUCCAUUAGUUUGUUGGCGGGGUAACGGCCCACCAAGACUACGAUGGAUAGGGGUUCUGAGAGGAAGGUCCCCCACAUUGGAACUGAGACACGGUCCAAACUCCUACGGGAGGCAGCAGUGAGGAAUAUUGGUCAAUGGGCGCGAGCCUGAACCAGCCAAGUAGCGUGAAGGAUGAAGGCUCUAUGGGUCGUAAACUUCUUUUAUAUGGGAAUAAAGUUUUCCACGUGUGGAAUUUUGUAUGUACCAUAUGAAUAAGGAUCGGCUAACUCCGUGCCAGCAGCCGCGGUAAUACGGAGGAUCCGAGCGUUAUCCGGAUUUAUUGGGUUUAAAGGGAGCGUAGGUGGAUUGUUAAGUCAGUUGUGAAAGUUUGCGGCUCAACCGUAAAAUUGCAGUUGAAACUGGCAGUCUUGAGUACAGUAGAGGUGGGCGGAAUUCGUGGUGUAGCGGUGAAAUGCUUAGAUAUCACGAAGAACUCCGAUUGCGAAGGCAGCUCACUAGACUGUCACUGACACUGAUGCUCGAAAGUGUGGGUAUCAAACAGGAUUAGAUACCCUGGUAGUCCACACAGUAAACGAUGAAUACUCGCUGUUUGCGAUAUACAGUAAGCGGCCAAGCGAAAGCAUUAAGUAUUCCACCUGGGGAGUACGCCGGCAACGGUGAAACUCAAAGGAAUUGACGGGGGCCCGCACAAGCGGAGGAACAUGUGGUUUAAUUCGAUGAUACGCGAGGAACCUUACCCGGGCUUAAAUUGCAACAGAAUAUAUUGGAAACAGUAUAGCCGUAAGGCUGUUGUGAAGGUGCUGCAUGGUUGUCGUCAGCUCGUGCCGUGAGGUGUCGGCUUAAGUGCCAUAACGAGCGCAACCCUUAUCUUUAGUUACUAACAGGUUAUGCUGAGGACUCUAGAGAGACUGCCGCCGUAAGAUGUGAGGAAGGUGGGGAUGACGUCAAAUCAGCACGGCCCUUACGUCCGGGGCUACACACGUGUUACAAUGGGGGGUACAGAAGGCGGCUACCUGGUGACAGGAUGCUAAUCCCAAAAACCUCUCUCAGUUCGGAUCGAAGUCUGCAACCCGACUUCGUGAAGCUGGAUUCGCUAGUAAUCGCGCAUCAGCCAUGGCGCGGUGAAUACGUUCCCGGGCCU
rnacentral:rRNA from 1 species